rnacentral:tRNA from 3 species
GCCGUUGUAGCUCAGUGGUAGAGCACUUCCUUGGUAAGGAAGAGGUCGACAGUUCAAUCCUGUUCAACGGCU